rnacentral:tRNA from 1 species
UUAUUUUUGGUUUAGUGGUUAAAGCGUAGGUCUCGUAACCGAAAGCUUGCGGGAUCGAAUCCCGCUAGAGGCU